AGGAACGAUUGGCUUACUAAUAGCAUGCUGUGAAAUAUCUUCGCCGUUGGCUCUCUAUGCCCAAAGUUUUAGGGGAAAAAACCAAGUGUUUCCCCAAGGCUGUGAUGGGAAGUUUGAGUUAUUCCCCACUCUAGUAUUACCAUAUUGUGAUUGUCUUUGAAUCUUGAGUUAUUGACACUCAAAAGGGCACUUCUGGUUCGACAAAAAAAGAAGGGCAGUUCUGGUGUGUGGAGUAGCUAAUGAAAAGCCAUAAGCUCGACAUAGAAUCAAGCUACUAAAAUGGCGGUCCGAUUUAGAGCAGCCCAUAUUUGAUUCACAAUAAUACCUAAUUGGGAUAGGCUCGAUUUUAUACCUUUCAAAGUACAUAGAUGAUGGGGGAAGAAGAAAGUAAAUUCAUAGAUGAUUAGGG
rnacentral:misc_RNA from 1 species